rnacentral:snRNA from 1 species
GGAUGUGAGGGUGAUCUGGCUACAACAUGUCACCCCAUUGAUUCGACUGAUCUGGUUGGCUAGGCGGGUGUCCCUUUCCUCCCUCACUGCUCCAUGUGCAUCCCUUCUUGAAGCUGCGUGCUCAGUUGAAUAGGACGACCUUCCCCGCUAGAGGACAAGUCUUCUUCGUUCAAGGGUAUACGAGUAGCUGUGCUCCCCUGCUAGAACCUCCAAACAAGCUCUUAAAAAGAAAGCAUUGGAAUUGGACAGAUCAAAUUUUAAAAAAAAAUGAUAAAUAAGAGUGU